rnacentral:rRNA from 1 species
GACGAACGCUGGCGGCGUGCUUAACACAUGCAAGUCGAACGGAAAGGCCCUGCUUUUGUGGGGUGCUCGAGUGGCGAACGGGUGAGUAACACGUGAGUAACCUGCCCUUGACUUUGGGAUAACUUCAGGAAACUGGGGCUAAUACCGGAUAGGAGCUCCUGCUGCAUGGUGGGGGUUGGAAAGUUUCGGCGGUUGGGGAUGGACUCGCGGCUUAUCAGCUUGUUGGUGGGGUAGUGGCUUACCAAGGCUUUGACGGGUAGCCGGCCUGAGAGGGUGACCGGCCACAUUGGGACGGGGAUACGGCCAAGACUCCUACGGGAGGCAGCAGGGGGGAAUAUUGCACAAUGGGCGAAGCCUGAUGCAGCAACGCCGCGUGCGGGAUGACGGCCUUCGGGUUGUAAACCGCUUUCGCCUGUGACGAAGCGUGAGUGACGGUAAUGGGGAAAGAAGCACCGGCUAACUACGU